AUUUUAUAGCAUUUUCACGGUCAGUGAUUGCAAUACUUCUCACAUCUUUCUUACCUAGUCCAGAAAUAAAGAAACUUACUCAUCAUAAAUCUUUCUUUGCAGUUUUCACCCCAGGAUGCCACGCAAGAAGAGGGAAUUACCUGGGUUUCAGGUUUGAAUGAGGAAAAAACGUCUAAAUUAAAGCUAUAAUAACUAAUCAGCCAAAUUGACAAAGAGUGAAAGGCAGUUGGGUGUUAGCCUUUGCUUUACGCAGCGGAGAGGCUCCCCCACCACCUGUGAGAGUCAGCGAUUUCCACUUCCUGGAGCCUUGAGGUCUCUGGGAUGGUGAAGCUAUGAAAACCUAGGGGUGAAGGAGCUGGGGGGAGGGGCAGCAUUGGCCAAUUCAGAGGGCACGUGGGGUCGGGAUCCCAGAAGGAUACAGGUGUCUCUCUUUAUCUUCAGUUUUCCGUCUCCCCAGUGUCGGUUACCUGCCUCAACCACUCUUCAGAAGCAGAUUACCCUCCUCCCGAGGAAUCAUCAGAGCGCCAAUAGAAGCCUGACCCUAAGGCACAGCGCCUGCGUCAUUUCCCUCCGUCUUUUCCUCCUGGAGCCAUUUUCUCUUCUCACAUCGUCAGAGUUCGAGUUAAGAUGGCAAUGACCUGGAAAAUAUAGUUUCAUUGCCAGUACUGGAUGGAGAGAAACAUCGCCUCAAAGUAACAGUUACUCAAAAAGGUAAUACAACAGAUACAAGAAGAAAAACUUACUGGCACCACACUUUGUCUCGUUUCUACUCGCUGCUUAUGUGAACAUAUAAGACAAGCUUCAUCUGGUGACCAUCAGGCAACGUGCUAAAGACAACUGAGCAGAAAGCUAGAAAGGCCUGGAUCGCCAGGAAAGUGACCCAAGGCUGCCACUGCCUACCUCCCUUGACUACUCUUUGGCUCCUAGAGACAGUGAUUGCACCCAAAGCGCUGCUGUUUGUAACAUCAGUCGGUGAUUCCCAACUCUCUCGGCUUCUGCCAGGGACUCACGCUUGGACUCCGUUCCCUUGUUGGAUUCCAGGCUUUCAGUGUCUUCAAGAGAACGGAAAGAACACAUUCACAAAAGCCACGGACCUUCUGCCAUGUGUCUGAAGCCUUAGUAAUGCUAACAACAGUCUCCAAAGACUCUAAGAACAGUCUCCAAAGAGAACACAUCAAGGGCAACUGACACUGCUGUAGUUACAGAACAACAGAAGAGAAAGGAAACAGAUCCAAACAGCCAAAGGCUUAUCUAGAUACAAACAUACCAAUUACUACAGUACUGUGAAUGUACCAAACACUCCAAUGAAAAGCCACAGUUUGACAGACUGGAUCAAAAAGGAAGAUGCAAAUGUAUAUUGUCCACUUUUUUUUUUUUUUUUGGAUGAUAGAAGUAUUGUAGAACUUGACUAUGGUGAUGGUCAGAAAACAUGUACAUUUUUCCAGAAUUGAUCAAACUUAAAAAGGCUGAGUGUUACUAUGCAUAUGCAAAUGUAUCAUCUAAAAUCUAUCUCAAUAAAGCUGUAAAAGAAGAUAUGUUCCAACUCAUUCCAUGAGCCUGGAAUCUCUAUCAAAAUAUAUCGAGUUAAAGUGGGGAGAAAAAAGGAAGAUAGCAGCCAAUAACUGAUAAAAGCAGAUGCAAAAACCUAAACAAACUAUUUACAACUGAAUUCAGCAGUGU